rnacentral:rRNA from 1 species
UGGGGAAUAUUGGACAAUGGGCGAAAGCCUGAUCCAGCCAUGCCGCGUGUGUGAAGAAGGUCUUCGGAUUGUAAAGCACUUUAAGUUGGGAGGAAGGGCAGUAAGCGAAUACCUUGCUGUUUUGACGUUACCUACAGAAUAAGCACCGGCUAACUCUGUGCCAGCAGCCGCGGUAAUACAGAGGGUGCAAGCGUUAAUCGGAAUUACUGGGCGUAAAGCGCGCGUAGGUGGUUCGUUAAGUUGAAUGUGAAAGCCCCGGGCUCAACCUGGGAAAUGCAUCCAAAACUGGCGAGCUAGAGUAGGGCAGAGGGUGGUGGAAUUUCCUGUGUAGCGGUGAAAUGCGUAGAUAUAGGAAGGAACACCAGUGGCGAAGGCGACCACCUGGGCUCAUACUGACACUGAGGUGCGAAAGCGUGGGGAGCAAACAGG